rnacentral:lncRNA from 1 species
CUCAUCCUCUGGCAUCCCCUUCUCCUCCUGCCCUCAAUCUUUCCCAGCAUCAGGGUCUUUUCCAAUGAGUCAACUCUUCAAAUCAGGUGGCCAAAGUAUUGGACUUUCAGCCUCAACAUCAGUCCUUCCAGUGGACACCCAGGACUGAUCUCCUUUAGGAUGGACUGGUUGGAUCUCCUUGCAGUCCAAGGGACUCUCAAGAGUCUUCUCCAACACUGCAGUUCAAAAGCAUCAAUUCUUUGGCACUCAGCUUUCUUCACAGUCCAACUCUCACAUCCAUACAUGACCACUGGAAAAUGGACUUAUUAAAAUGAAAUCAGGAAAAAAGAAAAAACAAAAUAGAUCUAACGGCAAAAAUGGAAAAGGAGUGGCCAGCAUAUUUGGGAAAAAUCUCACAGAGAACGGCAUCGGGAAGGCCCAGGAAAAAAAGAGGAACUCAUCAAACGGCACAGAAAGGUCAGCUGACAGAGACAACAAACCUGAUGUGCUUGAGAGCAGAUUCAAUGAUGUCAUGGGAACAGAAAACACUUGGAAAUCAGUGGAGCACGCAUUGCAGAUGAAUAAAAGGAGACUCAGAGAGAGAUUGCUGGUUGUCCCAAGACAUAAGGUCAAUAGAAGACUACCAGAAAAGGCGGUAUCCUGAAAGAAUUCACAAGGAGAUUUUCUCUGGAGAGAAGUUACCUAGAAAGGUAAACGAUGGAGGCAGAGAAAUAGACUGCGGGAGGACACACACAAUUCCAUGCACAAAAGCAGAACAAAAGAAGCCUGAGGUAGACGCUGCAUAAAAUUAAGGUUUGCAAAAGUUGAGUGGGGACCUACAUAUAUGUUGACCAUAUUGUGUUGCAUAAUUUUUAAAAUUACAUUUGAAACAUUUCAUGAAUAAGCAAGAGCUCCUUUUUUCCUGUCUUCACGUCAACCUUGUAUGCUGUUAAUAUCAAGAACUUCCUUUUUGUUUCCCUCUGAUGUAUACUUGUAUAAUGUUACUUGCAACAUUACUGAACUAUUUUCUUUUAAAUGCAG